AACGAACGCUGGCGGCAGGCUUAACACAUGCACGUCGAGCGCCCCGCAAGGGGAGCGGCAGACGGGUGAGUAACGCGUGGGAAUCUACCCAUCUCUACGGAAUAACGCAUGGAAACGUGUGCUAAUACCGUAUACGUCCUUCGGGAGAAAGAUUUAUCGGAGAUGGAUGAGCCCGCGUUGGAUUAGCUAGUUGGUGGGGUAAAGGCCUACCAAGGCGACGAUCCAUAGCUGGUCUGAGAGGAUGAUCGGCCACACUGGGACUGAGAAACGGCCCAGACUCCUACGGGAGGCAGCAGUGGGGAAUAUUGGACAAUGGGCGCAAGCCUGAUCCAGCCAUGCCGCGUGAGUGAUGAAGGACCUAGGGUUGUAAAGCUCUUUCACCGGUGAAGAUAAUGACGGUAACCGGAGAAGAAGCCCCGGCUAACUUCGUGCCAGCCGCCGCGGUAAAAC
rnacentral:rRNA from 1 species